UCUUGUAUUCCAAAUAUUUUCUAAUGAGUUUGUUAUGUUUUAUUUUAAACAAAAGACUUUGCAGUGAUUACUUUUCCUGAAUUUUUUUUGUAAGCUUAUUGCUUGUGUUUCUGUUAUGUUCUAACAAACUUGAGCUAGAUAUCAUUGAGUAAAAGGUUGACAUUCUCAUGUAACAUCUACGAAAAGUUAUGCCUAUAUAUAAUGGAAUUUUACUCUUAGGAGAAUUGUUAAAUUACUACAGUAAAAUGGCUGUAUCAAAAAUAGAUCUUGCUGCAGUAUUGGAAUGCAAGAUCUGCUUAGACACUUUUCAUAAACCGAAGCAUCUUAUUUGUGGGCACACCUAUUGCCGAGACUGUUUAGAUAGCAUUCUUGUUUUUGGUGAAGACGGAAGUGCUGUGUUGGCUUGCCCAUUAAGAUGUGCUAAGAAGACAGUAAUAGAUCAACAUGAAACAACUUCGUCGUUAAUAAAUGUGUAUACAUUGACUGACCUUUUAGAUCAAAUGUCAUCUGGUGAAAAUGUUAAAUCUUUAUGUCAGCAAAGUAAAGAAUGCAAAAAAAGUAUCUGCCACUCCUGUACAACAUGCAGUGUAAAGAUAUGUGACGGAUGUCAAAAUCUACAUUCUUGUACCAACAAAUCUUUUACCAAUGUCAUUUUUAAUGAAAAAUUGCAAAAACUCCAACCAUUGUGUAAACAACACAACUCAAUUGCAAAAUUUGUCUGUAUUGACUGUGAAAAUCUGUUUACCUGUGUGUAUUGCACACACAGACAACAUAAGAAUCACAGAAUCAAAUCGAUAGAUGAAUUUGGUGUGGAAGCCAAAAAGUGGUUCCAAUCGUUCAUCACUUCCUUCGAUGAAACAAAAAUGGUGUUGGAAAAGUUAACAAGGAAAUACGGUGACGCUCUAAAAAAUUGUAAGAAAGAAAGAGCAGUACUUGCUCUUAAGUUAAAAGAAAGAAAGUUGAAAAGACUAGAAGAGUAUCUUAAAAUGUUAAAUAAAGAAGAAGAAGAUCUAUUGAAAUCAUUUGAUGAGAAAUCUGAAGAAUUUAAAGCAAAAUUAAUUUGUACUGGUUUUGUUGACAAUAACAUAGUACAAGAAUUUACAGAUUACGUUCAAAUUUUCAAUUUAAAAUCUCAUUUUGAGUUGGUUGCUGAAAAGCUGGAAAUUGAACGACAACUCCGCGGUCUAUCCUCUUUUCAAAAAACUAUCCCAACAUUCAAUUCACACCUUCAUCAAAUGAACAAAGCAGAUUUUUCGACAAAUCCGUUGGGCGAAAUGAAAAUUUUAAUUAAUGACGUCACCACUGUUGGUAUAGAUCCUAGUGAAUGUUCUAUUUAUAAAAACUUGAUUGAUGAGUGUGAAACCCGACCCGAAUAUUCACAAUUAACAACUGAUUUAAUGAACUUAGUUGAAAGUUUGAAAGAGUACAAGAAACCAACUGCUAAUGCAGAUCAUGUUUUCACAAAAGAUUUGAAAAGCAAUAUGAAGUCAAAAAUUUACCAGACUGCUGAGAUGUGUUAUUCUUUCAAAGGUACGGUGUUUGAUUUUUUAACAUUAGUGAAAAUAAACAUGAAAGUUGUAUUAUUGACAUUUUACUUCACGUACAAUUCGUCUUCGAAUCUACAAGACAUUAUAAGUGUACAGUAAAUUCUUUUGUGUAUCUACAGAUUUCAUUAUUCCUUAAUUAUUAGUCAACUAGUUCAAAAAAAAUAAAAAAGUAAUGUAAUUCCUUUCGUCACUAAGUUUAGGAUGACUGACUAAUCAAAAAAUGUACACUGAAGUGUACACUAAAGAAAAAAAAGAUGAAAACCUUUUGACAUUUAAAUAUUCAAUACAAUGAAAUGUCAAUGUUUAGGCGAAUUGGAAGUAUACUGAAGUGAUUUGGCGACUAUACCGUUAAUUUGAGUUUGAGAUGUUCAAAAGAGGACUAAGUAAGCCCUAAACAUGAGGCAUAAACCUUGGCGAAGAGCCAUUUUUUUGCUUUCUGCUAUCAGGCAAAAGGAAGAAAAAGACUCUGGCACAAGUCAGUGUUCUUACAAAGGCUUUCUAUAAAAUAGUGGUGAGUGACAUUGUGGCAGUGCGUAAAAACAAGAUGGUGGUGGUAUUAAUCUAUGCUACUACCUUAAAUAAGAAGAUACACAUAUAUGAUACCAUUAAUACUAAUAAUACUAUACUAUAAUACCAAUACUAUUAUUUGCCGUCUUUACAUUAUAUGCGGUUGUUACAUCAUAUGUGGUCCGAAUACCAUUAUAUAUGGUUGAUGUAUCGUUUUAUAUUGAUAUUAACCAUAUUACGCAUUCACAUUUGUAUAUGUCUGCAUAUUAUAUGAAGCAUGUGUACCAUUGCAUUUGCAUAAUUCUUCUUUUUAUAAUUCUCAUUAUGGUAUGAUGAUGAGGAGCGCAAAUGAGAGUAUAAUCAGAUUUAUGUUAGGAAAGCACAAAUUUGUCAUUAUUUUGAAGGUAAACAAAAUAAAAUCAACAGUCUCUCUUUUAACAUAUGUAAUAAUUUAUCUGAUCUCAAUCUAUUAAAAAAAGGUUAGAUUUAUUAAAGUGCUUAAAAAUUUUAAUUUAAAAAUCUAGGCCAAGUGAGCAAUGUCAAGCAUUUCCACAAUGUCCGCAUUAUGGAACGCAGAGAGGUUUCGAAAUAUUUGGAAUUGAGACGUGCUGACCUUAGUUAAAAUCAGCAUUGUUUAAGAUUUUGGCUCAAAUCAAAUAACUUAGACUCGAUGUCCUAAGUCCGCUGUGAACAUUUACAUGUUCGGAAUGCGUGUUACUUACAUAGAUACAGUCGACGCUCGUUAUCUCGAACUCCCAAGGGACCGAAAGAAAAGUUCGAGAUAGCGAGCGUUCGAGAUAGCGGAGGUUCGACAUAACGAGCGUAUUUCAUGAAAAGUUCGAGAUAACGAGUUUUUCGAAACUUUUUGAAAUUUUCAGAAAAGGGCAAGGGUCAGUAGUUCGGUCAUAAGUAUCUGUGGGCAAACUUUUAAAAUUAAAAUUCACCUGAAUUAAGGGUACUUGAAGGAACUGUUUGGUCAAGAAAGGGAAAUGGAUAAUAAAGAAAACAGCAUUUUGCGUACAUGUAUACUUAUUGUUGAUUACAAUUACAUACAUUAUUUUUGAUCGAAAAAGCUCAAAAUACUAGUUUGCUUCUUGUUUUUCAUUUCACUUUUAAGAAACAAAUCUUCAAAGCGAAGCAGGAGGCGUUGCAUGUCAUUUCCAUCAUCAGUGAAUAGACAAGCAUUUUGUAAAGUCUCCACUGCAGUGUUUUUUUCUGAUUUUGUUGGCUUGCUCACUGGCUCAUCAAACACCUCGAUGACAUUGGCAUUUUCAUCAUGCUCCUCGUCAUUCUCAUCUGUACUUGGCCGUACCGACUCAAGGAUUUCUUCAUCAGUCACGGGAUUUUCGAUUGUGGUCAAAUCUUGGUCAAUAUCGACAACAUCACGGGCCGAGAGAUCAGCAGGAAUAAUGGUAUCGUCAAUGGCACGCAGUUGUGUGAGAUCUUUCUCCAGUUGUUUAAAUGGAUCAUCAAUAUCAUCAGUUGCAUUCUGUUGAGCUUUCUUGGAAAUCUUUUUUCUUGAAGCAAUUUACGAUGGUUUCUUUCUUCACUUUGUCCCACGACGAAACAAGUAUUUGAAGAGCACGCAGAAUUGAAACUUUUGGAAGAUCUUUGCCUUUUUCUAGGUUUUGAAUCAUCAUGUUGACCAAUUUUUGGCGAUAAAGAGACUUAAGACAUCUUAUGACACCUUGGUCCAUCGGUUGUGACACAGAAGUUGUAUUUGGAGAAACAUUGCAUUGAUUUCCCGCACCCACUCUUCAAAAAGAGAGCUGUCCAUCCAACUCUUCUUCUGCGCUCUGUACCUGCAGGGUAGGGAUGUUACAUUUUUGAAGCACCUUGGUUUCUUCGAUUUACCAAUCACAUACAUUGGUAGUUUAUCUCCGACAGCAUUGGCAGCUGCAAGCCCGUUAAUUCGGACUUUGUUAUUUUUACCCCCAGAGCAUUUUUCGGAUUUGUAGUGAUACGUUUUAUUUGGCAAGCAUUGGUAGAAGAGACCGAAUUCGUCGGCAUUGUAAAUAUCUUCUAGUUUGUAGUUAGUUAAUAAUGUUGGUAAAGUGGUUUCAAACCAAGAUGCUAUCAUAUCAGGUUGAACAGAAUUGCUUUCACCAACGACCGUCUUGAACGUCACAUUGUGCCUGAAAUAGAAAAUAAAACAAAUACCGACUUGUAUAAAAGAUUUAUUGUUAACCUGUUCGUGCAUUUUUUCGAAUACGAAUGUUCGAAUUUCAAUUCGAAUGUUUUUAAAAAUUCUUGUGUGAACACCCUGUGAACAUUAUCAUUAUUACUUGUGCAUGGCAACAAGGAAAAGCAAACCAGGAGAAAAAGGAGAAGAUGGAUCUUGCAAAAAUGAUAAUUGAUCAAAAUUUAAUCAAUGUUGUAAUGAUAAAAGAAUUUGAAUUGGCUUCACAUGUUAAGGGGUUCCACGUUUAUAAAGCAUUGUGGACUCCAAAAAAUGGGGAGACUUUACAAUGCGAAGGAGAGCCUAAUAAUCCCGUUGACAAAUAUGCUGUGUGUGUCAAGAAAGAAAACAAGAUAGUUGGACAUUUACCACUUGGAAAAUCUGGGAAAUUUGCUAAAACAAUAUUUUAUUUCCUCAGAGCUGAUGAAUUAAGCUCGUGCAAAGUAACUGUGACUGGAAAACCAGUUAAUUUGGGAGAUGGUGAAGGCAUGCAAGUGCCAUGCAAUUUGACAUUUAUUGGAACGGAAAAGUGCAUCGAGAUACUCAAGAAACAUAUUUAGUUUAUGUUAGUCUUUUUAAGAUUUUAAUAUCAAAAUAAAACCAAUUCGAAAAAAAGAGAUUUAAUAUUCUUACCUUUUUUUCCAUUUACCAAGCCAACCGUCUGAAGCUUUGAAAUCUUCUACUCCAAGCUCCUGUGCAUAGCUUUUAGCUUUCUCCUUUAGUAUUGUCCCAUCGAUUGGUAUGUUUUUGCUUCGUUGUGAAACAAACCAUUUGAACACGACAAGAUCUACUUCUGAGAAUUUACCAUCUCUGAUCUUUCUUUUCUUGCUCGAAGAUUUUUCGAGAGCAGAAAAAGGUUUUUCCUUAUUGGCUAGCCAUGUUGAUAUCGUGUUUUUAGGCACCCCGUACUUUUUAGCGAUAUCUUUAUUUGGAAUACCUUUUUCCAAUUCUUUUAAUGCUUGGCAUUUUUCUGCCAAAGUUUUUACAACGAGCUUUCUUUUCGGUGGCAUUCUGACAAAGGAAAUCACAAAAAAAACAUUGCAAAAUCUACCUGUUUUACAAUGGAAUGUC